UGAGACAGAGAUCCACUUCAUCCUUCCAACAGGCAAGCAAGUCCAGUGGAAUUGUACCCUUCCAGUGUCCUACUGCAAAGCAGACCUUGAUGAAUCUUCGGAUGCUGCAGACUAUCUUCCAGACUCAUGUGGCAAUUCCUCGGAUGCUUCUAUUAUAAGUACUACAAGUUCUUGUAGUAAGGAAUAUAAAACCACAGAAAAGAAUCUCCACCACAAAUUGUCAGAGAACAAACCAUUAGGGAAUGUUACAGCACACAGUGGGGAUAGUACCACCAGUUCAGAGAAGCCAAGAACAUUAAGUUAUUCAAAGAUGCGCAGCAAUCCUUGUACUUCAGUAAUAAGCUGCAGUGCCAAUUCAUCAGAGAACACAUCACACCAGAAAAGCUCCAUAAAUGUCACACCUUUGUCAAUAACAGCAAAAGGAAGCAAGUACAACAAGAAGCAAUUUUGUCUUUAUUGUAAAAAGGCCAUUUAUAAAUUGGCAAGACACCUCGAAUCCAUCCACAGUGAAAAGCCUGAUGUUGCAAUGGCUUUCAGUUUUAAUAAAGGAUCCCGCAAAAGAAGAGAGUUGUUACGCUCUCUUAAGAAGAGAUGAAACUUUGACCAUAAUACUGAAGUGGCAAGCUGUGGCACUGGAGAGAUGGUUGCCUGUAAAAGACCUAGUAAUGCAAAACCAUCUGAUGACUACCGUGACUGCAAAUUUUGCGAAGGACUGUAUGCAAGAAAUUCCCUAUGGAGACAUGUGAGAAACUGCCCGAAGAAGUCUGUUGAGGGAGAGCCUCAGGUUGG